rnacentral:sRNA from 1 species
CCGCUCUUAGCGCUGAGCUCCAUCCAAGGAGCGGAGAGACCAACGAGAACCAUGGAUGGAGGCGGGGGACCCACCGGUCCACCGACAUCAGGAGACCAGGAACCGCUCGCGGUUCCUUGGGGUGAAGCCGAGAUCGUUUCCACCAGAGACGACCACGGCCGGGCGACCUCUCCAGCCCGAACCCGACAGCUGACCUCGCAGGCGCAUUGAAGAGAGGAAUA